rnacentral:lncRNA from 1 species
AAUGACCUUGCUUCACAAUUUUGCAGCACGGCAUGCUGCUCCCCAACAUUCAUCUGACUCGGAGGCAAGUCUGUUAACCAUGAUGUCAGCAGGAAUUAUUUUGACAGCUGCCAGAAGCAGUAGCAUAAGACUCAAAAGUUUUCAUUUUAGAAUGUGGUGUUCUAGAAUGUUGGUCUGAUGUAUACAUGCUAAUGGACAAUCAAAGACAGUAGCACAGUGUUCAAGAGAAGAACCCACAAGGAAAAGCGAUCACAUCAAUCAAUUAAACAAAACACCAGUUUUUUCAGGGAACGUUGGGAGGCUGACAAGUUGAUCAAGAGAAACGCAGGACCAAGUCACAAAUUGUGGACAAUGGCAGCGCUUCAGAGGCAGAGCGAGGACACAGCUGAAGUAAUAAUCCCCAACAUCUCUGGCACAAGCCUUGAUAAUUAAAAAAAAAAAGCGUCUC